AGCAGAGUGGCCUAGUGGAUAGAGCACGGGCUUGCCCUGGGACUCAAAAGGACCUGGGUUCUAAUCCCAGCUCUGCAA
rnacentral:tRNA from 1 species